rnacentral:lncRNA from 1 species
GUGUGCUGGUCCUCAGUUACCUCAGCAGCGGUGUCAUGUUAGUGUGCUGGUCCUCAGUUAUCUCAGCAGUGAUGUUAUGCUAGUGUGCUGGUCCUCAGUUACCUCAGCAGUGAUGUCAUGUUAGUGUGCUGGUCCUCAGUUAUCUCAGCAGUGAUGUCAUGCUAGUGUGCUGGUCCUCAGUUACCUCAGCAGCAAUGUCAUGUUAGUGUGCUGUUCCUCAGUUACCUCAGCAGUGAUGUCAUGUUAGUGUGCUGUUCCUCAGUUACCUCAGCAGUGA